UGGUUAUUCAAUGUCUUCGGGCCUCACAGGAUGAGGUGCCUCUGCAACGAUGAAAUACUCUGGCCAGUGGGCGAGGAACAUGGAUGUGAUGCUGUUUGCUCUGGCAGGAACAGGAGGACCAAGGCCACCCUGGGAAUGGUAGAAUGGUUAAACUGCAAAGAGCCUGAUUGCUGGUGACUUCACAACCUGUCUUGCACUGCUAAUCAUCUCCAGACUUUGCUCACAUCAGCCACCUUGCUGAAGUCACUGUGCAUUCUGUUGUAUACGUCAUGCUUACUACUGUGGGGCAAGGUGGGCAGGGGAAGAAAUCCGUAAUGUUAAAAUUUUAUACAAGACCAUUACAUUAACAGUUUGUCAGGCAGAUUUAAGGCAACUCUUGUUCUCAUUUUUAAAAAAUUGUUUUCAACGUUGCUUUCAAUGUUGUUCCAUGACCUACAAGUUUUUUAAUUUUUUAGUACUCAAGUCUGUUUUUCCUUUUAUUUCCCCAUUUUCUUUACUCUUAGUCUUCAUUUAACUUUUUUUUUAAAAAAAGGAUACAGUUUCUGUAAGUGGAUCCAAGUUACUGAAACAAGAGAAAUGUCAAUAGUAAGCAGUGUUUACAAAAUCAGUUCAAAUAAGCAUCCUAAAACUAAAACUAAUAUGCUCAAGGAAAACAAAAUGUGCUUAAUUCACAACUUUAAAACCAACUUUAGGGCUAAGGAAGAUGGUUUUAACUACCUAAUGGCUAUGAGUUGUUACAGUGACUAUACAGGUAUUUGUACAUUUUCAUUUAACUGCUUCUUUACAAAUUAAAAGUUAAUAACUCUA